UAGAUACCCUGGUAGUCCACGCCCUAAACUAUGUCGACUAGUUGUUGGGGGAGUCUGUCCCUCAGUAACGUAGCUAACGCGUGAAGUCGACCGCCUGGGGAGUACGGUCGCAAGAUUAAAACUCAAAGGAAUUGACGGGGACCCGCACAAGCGGUGGAUUAUGUGGAUUAAUUCGAUGCAACGCGAAGAACCUUACCUACCCUUGACAUGCCAGGAACCCUGCGGAGAUGCGGGGUGCCCGAAAGGGAACCUGGACACAGGUGCUGCAUGGCUGUCGUCAGCUCGUGUCGUGAGAUGUUGGGUUAAGUCCCGCAACGAGCGCAACCCUUGCCAUUAGUUGCUACAUUCAGUUGGGCACUCUAAUGGGGACUGCCGGUGACAAACCGGAGGAAGGUGGGGAUGACGUCAAGUCCUCAUGGCCCUUAUGGGUAGGGCUUCACACGUAAUACAAUGGCGCAUACAGAGGGCUGCAAACCCGGCGAGGGGGAGCCAAUCCCAAAAAGGUGCGUCGUAGUCCGGAUUGUUCUCUGCAACUCGAGAGC
rnacentral:rRNA from 1 species